rnacentral:rRNA from 1 species
UGGGGAAUAUUGCACAAUGGGCGCAAGCCUGAUGCAGCCAUGCCGCGUGUAUGAAGAAGGCCUUCGGGUUGUAAAGUACUUUCAGCGGGGAGGAAGGUGGUAAGGUUAAUAACCUUAUCAAUUGACGUUACCGACAGAAGAAGCACCGGCUAACUCCGUGCCAGCAGCCGCGGUAAUACGGAGGGUGCAAGCGUUAAUCGGAAUUACUGGGCGUAAAGCGCACGCAGGCGGUUGAUUGAGUCAGAUGUGAAAUCCCCGGGCUUAACCCGGGAAUUGCAUCUGAUACUGGUCAGCUAGAGUCUUGUAGAGGGGGGUAGAAUUCCAUGUGUAGCGGUGAGAUGCGUAGAGAUGUGGAGGAAUACCGGUGGCGAAGGCGGCCCCCUGGACAAAGACUGACGCUCAGGUGCGAAAGCGUGGGGAGCAAACAGG